UUUUAGAAAUGAACUUCACCUCAGCAUUCCAGAGGAUGUCAUGGUGGGAACUGCUCUCAUUUACCUUUCAUGCCUUCACUCUUACUAUAUUACUGCAGUAAAUUCAUGUUAUACAUCUUGGUUAAUAGGCAUUCUUAUCCAGCCAGAUGUGCAUGAGAUAAUGUCCGUUGUGAGUAUAUAAACAACGGUUGAAAUGUCUCAAAAUAUAGAAUAAAAGGAACUUUACUUUUUACUUUGGCUUCACAAUCUCAAUGUGUAACAAGUUAAACAAGUGAUAAUAGGAUCCUGCAUACAAGACUCUUUAGGGAAUGAAUAGAUAGUUAGGAUACACUUGUGCCCAGAAUGCUUCGAAUAUCUUAAACCUUUGAUUUUCUUCAUUUCAUAAUUAAGGAAACAAGGCCAACCAAAGGCUAAGUACUUUGCUCAGAGUGUAAAACUACAAGGUUGGAACAGCCACCUGUAUUCCACAUACUAUGUAUGGACCAAGAGCAUUAGCACCGCCUAUGAAUUUACUAAGAAUAAUGAAUCUCAGGCUUCCCUGGGUUUAUGCAGUCAAAUGCUGCAUUUUUAAACAAAUUCUCCUGUUAAGAUAAACCAUUAAACUUUUAGAAGUACUACUUAUGCUCCACUACCUUGAGUAAAUAUGGUUGCAACACACUCAGGCUUGAUUUUCUGCCUCUUAUUUCUCAAUAGUAUUGGUGGGAAUGUUUUAGGUGCUUCAUUCAGAAAUCAAUAAAUACUUAUUAUUGGUUAUAUAUCCUCUAGGCACUAUGGUUAAAUACAGGACUUUUUUUCUUCCAGUCCUUAAGCUGAAAACUUCUUGUCUUUAAAACUAAAUUACCAUUUAGGUUUGAGCCAUAAGUCACAAGAAUAAAGUUAAAAUCUAUACAGAAGGUGGAAUCUAAUGUGCAUGCUUUCCAGAAGAAAGCGUUGGAAGUCAUAACUAAGGAAUAUAAAAAUAACUAAGACAGAAGCUGGUACUACGGAUUAGGGUAUUGCUGUGCCAGGCCUUAGCAUGUUGCUUGUUGGUGGAAUGUUGACUUUGGGGCUUUGGAUUAGGGAAGUGGUUAAAUGCUAUAAGCAGGGUUUAGUGGGCCAUCCUAGUAGGAAUUUGGAGGACAGUAGUGAUAAGAGCAAUGUGGACUAUGGAGGGCCAAAUCAAGAGGUUUUAGAGACAAUUAUUGUAAUAUUUUGGCAAAGAAAGUGGCUGCUUUUUGCCUUUCUCCUAAGAAUCUCCCUGAGGUUAAAGUGAAGAGUUUUAGACUAACAUCACUGGCAGCAGAAAUUUCAAGACAACAUAGUAUUGACAUGUCACAUGGCUAUUAGUGACCAUUCAUCCAUGUCGACAAGGCAAAAGAGCAAGUGGGGCAAAAAUACAAAUGUAUGUUUCAGGAGAAAAGGAGCACAGGGGAUGUAAUGCUGGAGCCAAGUCCUGUGCUCAAGGAAAUGAGAAGUUUAAAGAAAGGCCUGAUGCUAAAUGGAUACUAAAUGAAAAAAGGGAGGAGUGCCUUCAGCUAAUUCUGUAACCUGUGAAAGAAAGUGUUGGGCGAUAUAUAACACUGUGAACUCCAUUUGCAUUAAUUAAAUAAAAUUAACCUUGGACCAGGAGCCUGAGUUAGCAACUAGUUGAGAAAGUAACCAUAGAGCAUCAGAGGCAUCUGGGAGAGACAGAGACAUACACUGGAAGGAGGAGGGAGGGAUUUGGAGUGGUGUGGCUUUUUUUUGUUUGGCAGAGUAGAAGAAUGCUCUCUUUGGGAGAUGCCAGCAAGGGGAGGCCAGCUAGUUGUUACUCAAGCUCUCUGAGCUAGCAGGUUUUCACCCCGUUCUUUGAAUCUUGAGUCUUACUUAUAAGUAGAUCGAUAGGGAUUUAGUUGAAGCUACCUUUAGGGGCAGAGGCAGAGCCUGUGCAUGUGGGAACAGAAUUCCUGUGAGGCUGAGGCCUGAGUGGCUAGGCCACUGCCAGAGAAGUAGGCCAGUAACUUCAGAGUCACAAUUGCUGGCUGAAGUAGCAGUAGAUUAAGGCACAGCCUUUGUGCUGAAGUUAAAACAACCACCCAAAGGAUUUCCUCCAACUAAAAACUACAAGUGAAAGCUUAUGCAGAUGUAGUUAAGGAAGGAACCAGGUUCUGGCCUAUGCAAGAACAUGGCAGCUUCAUCCACAUGGUUCUGGUUUUAGUGUUAAGGAUACAGGAAUAAAGGGUUGUGGAAUCUUUUCUCCAUGGUUAAGGAAAGCUGAGGCCAGGUAUGUGGCAGAGGAGUCACUGCAUGGAUGCCUAGAGAGGCUUGUGUGAAGCUAUGAAAGUGAACCUUGUAUUGCAAUGGAACCCAAGCUGUUGGAGAUGACACAUUCAUGGGAUAUCUGCUGCAAGCUGCAAACAAGGAGUUGAAACAGCCCAAGAGAUAGAAGUUUGUUACCAUCAGCGAAGCUGGAAGGAGUGGGAGAUUCUAUGAGCCAGGCAGUUACACUUAGAAGAUUGCCUUGAUUCUCAGAAGAGACUGGACUUUUAAAUAGUGUUGAUACUGUGAAAGACUACAGAUACUUUUAAAGUUGGAUUAAGUUCAUUUUGUAUUAUGAUAUGGCUACAAGCCUAAUGAAGGCUAGGGAAUGUUCGUGGUGGUUUGAAUGAGAAUGGUCCCUAUAGGCUCAUAUAUUUGAAUGCUUGGUCUGAGGUUGGCAGAACUCUUUGACAAGGGUGUGACUUUGUUGGAGGAAGUGUAUUAUUGGGGGUGGACUUUGAGGUUUCAGAAGUCCAUGCCAGGCUCAGUCUCUUUCUCUCUCUGCCUCCUGUUUGUGGAUCAAAUACAAGCUCUCAGGUACUGCUCCAGUACCAUAUCUGCCUGCCUGCUGCCAUGCUCCCUGCCACGAUAUCAUGGACUAACCUCUGAAACUG